ACGGGAGGCAGCAGUGGGGUAUAUUGGGCAAUGGGGGGAACCCUGACCCAGCAACGCCGCGUGAGGGAAGAAGGUUUUCGGAUCGUAAACCUCUGUCCUAGGGGAAGAGAAGUAGACGGUACCCUGGGAGGAAGCCCCGGCUAACUACGUGCAAGCAGCCGCGGUAAUACGUAGGGGGCGAGCGUUGUCCGGAAUGAUUGGGCGUAAAGGGCGCGUAGGCGGUCUGCUAAGUCUGGAGUGAAAGUCCCGGCUUUAAGGUGGGAAGUGCUCUGGAUACUGAUGGGCUUGAGUGCAGGAGAGGUAAGUGGAAUUCCCAGUGUAGCGGUGAAAUGCGUAGAGAUUGGGAGGAACACCAGUGGCGAAGGCGACUUACUGGACUGUAACUGACGCUGAGGCGCGAAAGUGUGGGGAGCAAACAGGAUUAGAUACCCUGGUA
rnacentral:rRNA from 1 species